rnacentral:rRNA from 1 species
UACGUAGGGUGCGAGCGUUGUCCGGAAUUAUUGGGCGUAAAGGGCUCGUAGGCGGUUUGUCGCGUCGGGAGUGAAGACUCAGGGCUUAACCCUGAGCCUGCUUCCGAUACGGGCAGACUAGAGGUAUGCAGGGGGAGAACGGAAUUCCUGGUGUAGCGGUGAAAUGCGCAGAUAUCAGGAGGAACACCGGUGGCGAAGGCGGUUCUCUGGGCAUUACCUGACGCUGAGGAGCGAAAGUGUGGGGAGCGAACAGG